UCCAAAGAAAUAGAAAGGUUGUUUCGAUAGACCCCGACUCAGGACAAAAUUAAAGACAGUAAACAAAGUCGUAAUAUAUCAUGAAACAAGAUGAAAUAACAUAAAUAAGAUACCCACAAAGUACCAAAGGCACACACCUUACCCAAACACUCCUAACUAGAAGCUCCAGCUUACAUACACAACCCUAAGACUACUAGUCAUGCUACACCAAAGCACUCCUAACUACUAUCUAUUACUCACUCACACGCACUACCCCUUUAACCUAAUCAGCUACGAACAGGGGCAUCAGUGCUCCUCCUCAUCACAUCCGCAAACCAUCUCAACUUCACUUUCCGCAUCUUGUCCUUCACCGAAACCACUCCCACCUUCUCCCGAAUAGUCUCAUUCUUAACCCUAUCUCCCCUAGUAAGUCCACACAUCCAACACAGCAUCCCCAUUUCCGCCACCUUCAAUUUUUAAAUAUGAGAGUUCUUGACUGGCCAACACUCUGCUCCAUACAGCAUGGCCGGACAGACUACCACUCCAUAGAAUUUACCUUUAAGCUUGGGCGACACCUUCUUAUCACAUAAAACUACCGAAACGAGCCUCCAUUUCAUCCAUCUUGCCCCAAUACGGUAAGAAACACCAUGAUUGUAUAGAAUAUAUAUAUAUAUAUAUAUACAAGUUUUAUUUUUAACAUGUUUAUGAGACUUAAAAUCAC
rnacentral:lncRNA from 1 species